rnacentral:rRNA from 1 species
CGGACGGGUGAGUAACGCGUAAAGAACUUGCCCUUUAGACUGGGAUAACAGAGGGAAACUUCUGAUAAUACUGGAUAAGUUAGUAUAUCGCAUGAUAUGCAAAUGAAAGCUACGGCACUAAAGGAGAGCUUUGCGUCCUAUUAGCUAGUUGGUAAGGUAAGAGCUUACCAAGGCGAUGAUAGGUAGCCGGCCUGAGAGGGUGGACGGCCACAAGGGGACUGAGAUACGGCCCUUACUCCUACGGGAGGCAGCAGAA